GUUGAAAUUCUAAAGUUUUUAGAGUGACAUGAUUGUUUUCCCAAUGCAGGUGUUGCAUACAUAGUUCUAUUGACCAUUCCUGUGACUGUUGCAUCAGCAGAAAGAAGCUUUUCGAAAUUGAAGCUAUUGAAGUCGUAUUUGUGUACUACAAUGACACAACAAAGGCUUACUGAUUUGGCCACAAUAGCACUUGAGAGUGAAGUGUUGGAGAACAUUGAUUACGAGGAUAUUGAAGAUUUCAUUUCAAAGAACACUAAAAGAAUGUUGUUAUUCAAGUAA
rnacentral:rRNA from 1 species